UUUAUGGAGAGUUUGAUCCUGGCUCAGGAUGAACGCUGGCGGCGUGCCUAAUACAUGCAAGUCGAGCGAACGGACGAGAAGCUUGCUUCUCUGAUGUUAGCGGCGGACGGGUGAGUAACACGUGGAUAACCUACCUAUAAGACUGGGAUAACUUCGGGAAACCGGAGCUAAUACCGGAUAAUAUUUUGAACCGCAUGGUUCAAAAGUGAAAGACGGUCUUGCUGUCACUUAUAGAUGGAUACGCGCUGCAUUAGCUAGUUGGUAAGGUAACGGCUUACCAAGGCAACGAUGCAUAGCCGACCUGAGAGGGUGAUCGGCCACACUGGAACUGAGACACGGUCCAGACUCCUACGGGAGGCAGCAGUAGGGAAUCUUCCGCAAUGGGCGAAAGCCUGACGGAGCAACGCCGCGUGAGUGAUGAAGGUCUUCGGAUCGUAAAACUCUGUUAUUAGGGAAGAACAUAUGUGUAAGUAACUGUGCACAUCUUGACGGUACCUAAUCAGAAAGCCACGGCUAACUACGUGCCAGCAGCCGCGGUAAUACGUAGGUGGCAAGCGUUAUCCGGAAUUAUUGGGCGUAAAGCGCGCGUAGGCGGUUUUUUAAGUCUGAUGUGAAAGCCCACGGCUCAACCGUGGAGGGUCAUUGGAAACUGGAAAACUUGAGUGCAGAAGAGGAAAGUGGAAUUCCAUGUGUAGCGGUGAAAUGCGCAGAGAUAUGGAGGAACACCAGUGGCGAAGGCGACUUUCUGGUCUGUAACUGACGCUGAUGUGCGAAAGCGUGGGGAUCAAACAGGAUUAGAUACCCUGGUAGUCCACGCCGUAAACGAUGAGUGCUAAGUGUUAGGGGGUUUCCGCCCCUUAGUGCUGCAGCUAACGCAUUAAGCACUCCGCCUGGGGAGUACGACCGCAAGGUUGAAACUCAAAGGAAUUGACGGGGACCCGCACAAGCGGUGGAGCAUGUGGUUUAAUUCGAAGCAACGCGAAGAACCUUACCAAAUCUUGACAUCCUUUGACAACUCUAGAGAUAGAGCCUUCCCCUUCGGGGGACAAAGUGACAGGUGGUGCAUGGUUGUCGUCAGCUCGUGUCGUGAGAUGUUGGGUUAAGUCCCGCAACGAGCGCAACCCUUAAGCUUAGUUGCCAUCAUUAAGUUGGGCACUCUAAGUUGACUGCCGGUGACAAACCGGAGGAAGGUGGGGAUGACGUCAAAU
rnacentral:rRNA from 1 species